ACACUUUAUUUUUUCACUCUGUUCCAUUUUCUUUGUGUUUUCGAAGCAACCCUUUGCACAAGGAUAGCGUCAAAGCUCUUUUCGUUUGUCACUUACCGGACUGCUCAAAUCCAUCUUGCCCCUACCUGGUAUCCCGAUUGAGUAAUAAGCGUGGUGAUGAAGUGUUUUGAUGAGAUUAUCUAAAUUCUUCAGUUGCUGAAAACCUUGUCAGGUGGUGUUUUGAUGGGUUGGGGCAUAUGGCAGUAACCGGCGUAUGCUGAAGCAAGUGAGGCUUGAGACUUGACCAAGCGCGUUCAACAUUGUUACAUGUUGAGCUUCUUUCUGUAUCUCUAAGUAAUGUGAAAUCAAUGACCAUCAUCGUUACCAAUUUUAUAGAGAUCGCCAUAAAAUGUGUGGCGAUGGAAAUUCUUUUGAAAGUUUUCAUUAUAUGCUAUUUACGUAUGGAACAUUACCUGGUCUUGAUAUUGAUUUGCUUUAAUGGCAUCUACGGCAGAAUUUAAGUACUUUGGUAGUAUCACAUGAUUAUGCAGCUAUUGGCUCUCAUGCUGUUUUGCUCGGACUUCGAUGGCAUCCCAUUUCAGGUCAAAUUUCUGUAAUGUUAAAGCCGGGAAAUCUGAAGUUGUGGUUUCAAUUCCUUUGAUAAGCACUUGGAUGCAUGCUAAGGAACUUACAAGAUAUACCUUAGCACACUUUGCUUCCUAGUUGUGUCGUAUAUUCAGGUAGUUGGCUGAUGAUUUUCAAUUCUAGACAUGUCACAAGUUCGAGCAGAAGAACUAAAUAGCUGUCAAGUGUUUGAAGUUUUUACUUUAUUUGCUUCAAAUUGGGCCAAGAGGAUGUAUAAAAGAUUAAUGAGUUGAUCUUUACAUGAACUAAAGUUUGUUUUCUAGUACGUUUUACUUUGCAGAACGUUAUUCGUUUAAGUGUAAUGGUGUAAUUAUUGUUUAAUUAUUUGAUUCGAUUCAUUGAUGGUGUUA